GGAUGCAGUUAUUAGCGACUUCAUUAUCAUAAUACAAUCACAAUUUGCAGCCAUGGAGAAAAAGCUUUCUUGCAUUUUGCUGUAUGCAUUCCUAAUCACCAUAACCUUCCCAAUGCUUUCUUCUGAAUCCAAACAACCUCUGAGUCUUGCAACUGAUCAAACUGCCCUUCUUUCACUCAAACAUACAUCUCUUUUACUUGCAACUAAUUGGACCAACUCCACCUCCGUCUGCACCUGGAUUGGCGUCACUUGCAGCUUGCGCCACCACAGAGUUGCUGCCUUGAAUCUCUCCAACAUGGCUCUCUCCGCCACCAUUCCACCACAGCUCGGACACCUCUCCUUCCUCGUCUCCCUCGACCUCUCCAACAACCUUUUCCAUGGAGAUUUGCCUCAAGAGCUGUCUCUCCUUCGCCGUUUGAAGUUCAUAUCUUUCCGACUCAACAACUUCACCGGAGACAUCCCUCCGAUGUUGGGUCAGUUACCAAAAUUAGAGUACUUGAAUUUACGCAACAACAGAUUCAUAGGUUCCAUCCCAAAAUCGCUCUCAAACCUCACAAGCCUACAAUUUCUUGACUUAACUUACAAUUCUCUAAGUGGAGAAAUUCCAAAAGAGUUGGGAAGACUUCAAAGUCUACAAACUCUGUAUGUUCAAUCUAAUCAUCUCUCCGGUGCUAUACCAUCAGCCAUAUUCAACAUCUCGACCCUUGUAUCUAUGGCCUUCACAUACAAUGAAUUGAGUGGAGAAAUUCCAAAAGAGUUGGGAAGACUUCAAAGUCUACAAACUCUGUAUAUUGAAUACAAUCAUCUCUCCGGUGCAAUACCAUCAGCCAUAUUCAACAUCUCGACCCUUGUAGCUAUAGCAUUGUCAUACAAUGAAUUGAGCGGAAGUCUUCCAACAGACAUGUGCAGUAAUCUUCCAUUUCUUGCUGAGAUUUAUCUUUCUGUCAAUCAAUUGAGUGGCGCGAUUCCCACAAAUCUAUCCCAAUGUUCACGGCUUGAGUUGUUGAGCCUCUCUGUAAACUCUUUUAGUGGGGAGAUACCUUCAGAAAUCGGCUACUUAACAUCUCUUCAAGUGUUAGCUCUUGGUGACAACAAUUUGAAUGGAAUACUACCACAUGAGAUUGGCCAUCUUCAGAGUCUGGUUACUUUUGGUGCUGAAAAGAAUGAGAUUGCGGGCUCAAUUGAUUUCAAUAUUUUCAUGAAUAUCUCUUCUCUGCAAAGCAUAUAUCUAUGGCGCAACAAAUUUGUGGGGAACCUUUCAAGGGAUGUCGGGAAUAUUACCAUGCUAACAAAUUUACAGCUCCAGGAAAACCAUUUUACAGGGAUUAUUCCUACUGAAUUUGGCCAACUUUACCAUUUGGAGACAUUAGACUUAUCAUCGAACACCUUGAGUGGUUCGCUUCCACAUGAGCUCUUUAACAUUUCAACUCUUCGGAUUCUUUCACUUGUCGGCAAUGCUCUGUCAGGGGUUCUUCCAACCCAUUUAUGCCAUGCCUCUCCCUUUCUUGAACAACUUUAUCUUGGCAGUAAUUCUAUCACCGGAGCAAUACCCAACUCCAUCUCUAACUGUUCUCAACUUAUGAACCUCUCACUUAAUGAGAACAAAUUCAGUGGUUAUAUACCUACUCAUCUUGCCAAACUAAGACUUCUUCAAAGUCUUCUGCUGUUCAGCAACAAUCUUACCCAGGCACCAUCUUCUUCCUUCAUUACUUCAUUGACAAAUUGUAGGUCUCUAACUACUUUGUCAAUUUCUGAUAAUCCUCUAAAUGGUGUCAUUCCAGCUUCUGUCGGGAACUUAUCUUCCUCACUCGAAAGAUUCUAUGCCUACAACUGCAAAUUCAGUGGCAGCAUUCCUGCUGAAAUAGGCAAUCUAAGCAAUUUGAUGACAUUGGCGUUGUCAGCAAAUGAGUUAUCUGGUAAUAUUCCACUAACUAUAAGCCAUUUGCAUGAACUUCAAGGAUUAGAUCUUCAAGAUAACAUGUUGAAAGGCUCAAUACCACAUGCUAUAUGUGAUCUAUUCAGCCUCAAUACUUUAUUCAUGAACCAGAAUCAAUUUUCAGGCCCAAUUCCUAAAUGUCUGGGAAAUGUCUCUUCUUUAAGAAAUCUUGGUCUAGAGUCCAACAUUUUGAAUUCUAGCAUACCAUCAAGCUUAUGGGGCCUAAAAGAUUUGAUCAAAUUAGACUUGUCCUCAAAUUCAUUAAAUGGGUCACUACCUCUAGAGAUGAGUGACUUAGGCGCAGCCAUCUAUAUAAAUGUAGCAAUGAAUCAGUUGUCAGGGUCAAUUCCAAGGAAUAUCGGAAAGUUGCAGAAUUUGGUUGAUCUGUCUUUGGCAAAUAAUAGACUAGAAGGUUCUAUUCCUGUGUCUAUGGGAAGCAUGAUCAGUUUGGCAAAUCUCGACUUGUCAUACAACAACCUCUCUGGUUCAAUUCCAAAGUCUUUAGAAGCACUUCAACACCUCGACUACUUUAAUGUCUCUUUCAAUAGUUUGAGUGGAGAAAUUCCUAAUGGAGGUUCUUUUAGAAACUUCACUAUGGAUUCUUUUAAGGGUAAUGAGGCAUUGUGUGGAAUCCCCAAGUUCCAUGUCCAAAUUUGCCCUUCAAUUUCUAAUCACACAUCAAAGAGAAAGAAGGUGGAACGAGCUUCAUUUAUUGUUUUCGGGGUUGUGGCUUUCAUCUCAGUUGUUUCUUUGGCCUUUAUAAUUGUCAGAAACAAACGGAAAGAUAAGAUGACUAGAGAAGUUGAUGAGUCGAUAUUCAUUGUGCCGGAAAGAAUUUCUUAUUAUGAAAUGCUGCAAGCAACAGAAAGAUUCGAUGAAAGCAAUUUACUUGGCACUGGGAGUUCUUGCUCUGUUUAUAAAGGAAUUCUUAACAAUGGGAAGGAUAUCGUUGUCAAGGUGUUUAAUAUGCAGCUAGAAGGUAUUUCAAGAAUAUUUGAUAUCGAAUGUGAGAUACUACGUAGCAUUCGACACAGGAAUCUGACAAGCGUCAUAGGCAGUUGCUCCAAUGAAGAGUUCAAGGCAUUAGUACUUGAAUAUAUGCCAAAGGGAAACCUUGAAAAAUGGUUAUAUUCCCACAACUAUUGCUUGAAUAUGAUGGAAAGAUUGAAUAUAAUGAUUGAUGUUGCAUCUGCUUUGGAGUAUCUUCACCACGGUUAUUCAAUGCCCAUUGUCCACAGCGACUUGAAGCCUAGUAAUGUGCUGUUAGAUGAAGACAUGGUUGCCCAUGUAAGCGACUUUGGGAUAGCAAAGUUGUUAUGCGAUGGAGAUAGCUUUGUGUUAACCAACACGCUAGCAACAUUGGGUUACAUCGCUCCAGAGUAUGGCUUGGAAGGGCUAGUUUCAACAAGGUGUGAUGUGUAUAGCUACGGGGUGAUGUUGAUUGAAACUUUUACGAGAAAAAGGCCUAGUGAUGAUAUGUUUUGCGGAGAUAUGAGCUUAAAGAGAUGGGUGGAACUCUCACUUUUGGAGAACCCAGAUGAACUGAUAGAUGCCAACUUAGUCAUGAAUUGGGAAAAAGAAAUGAUUGACAAGAAUAUGCAGUGUGUAUCAUCCAUACUUGAAUUGGCUCUUAAAUGCUCUGCGGACUCUCCCGGGGAUAGAAUCAACAUGAAACAAGCACAUGCAGAGUUGCUGAAAAUCAAAAGUCGAUUUUCCCAAUGAGAUUCAAUGUUGAUGAUUUUGAAGAGGCAGUAAUUUGGCUCUGGAUAGUGGUGAGGUGGAUGACAUAAAGAAUGGAAAAUUUGGCUUGGUCCGUUUGUUGGUUUUUCCUAUCGUUGUUAAUUCGUUCUUCUUGUUUUUUUUUUCUUUUGUGUUUUUCCCAUUGGAUUUUCGCCAGAAAGGUUUUAAUGAUGGUCGGUCCUUAGUUAGUAUCCUUGUGCUUUCAAGGGUUUGCUAGGUUUUCUUUUUUCGUUUUUCUCCUUUUAUAUAAUUUCUAUUUCAACAACUGAUACUCAAGGUUUUUCUAUCCCUCUUUCCUCCUUAUUUUAUGUUCUUGAGUUUACAUAUAAUCUUCUUUGUCACAGCUUUAAAUGCAAAAUCUUUCUGAAAAACGCCUCUGCCUCACCAUUCUCACCAACGAAAACAACCCCUCUCAAAAGAGUUCUGAAAAUUUUGAUAUUCCGCUCGCAGCCGAACUUGCUCAAGCUUCCCAGAAGCGCAAACCCGAUCUUCACACGGAAUAGAAGGUAGCAGCAAUUUAUUGUGAUACUCAUCGAGCACACAUUCAAUUCGACGUCCCAUUGGCGCAUUCCGUCGAACAUGUAGAGGGCAACUCGCGGCACAACAUUUGUAUUAAUUAUAGGGGAUUGCUUUAUCGCCAAGUUGGGGAUAAGGUGUUGGUCAAAUUACAACCUUAUCGUCAAACUUCAGUAGCUGGUCGAAGUUCUCCUAAGUUGGCACUUCGAUACUAUGGUCCAUUCACGAUCAUAGAGAAGAUUGGGGCUGUAGCUUACCGUUUGGAGUUGCCGCCUACUAGCCGCAUUCACCCCGUCUUCCACAUCUCUACCUUGAAACCUUUUAAGGGAGAUGGUACUGAGUUGAUUUGCCAGUUGCCUCCAGAUUCGGUGCAAGCUCAACCAGUAAUUACCCCAAUCGCAGUCUGCUCAUCGCGCCACAUGCUCUCUCAUGGCAAGGUGCGACACCAAGUGCUGGUUCAGUGGUUCGGCGAACCACCUGAGAGCUCGACGUGGGAGGAUUUUGAAGAUUUUAAGCGAGAUUUUCCCCAGUUUCACCUUGAGGACAAGGAUGUUCCAGAAGUGGUGGGGAAUGAUACACCUGACAACACUACCAGCCCAAGCCCAACCAAGGAAGACGAAGGCCCACGUUGCACCAAGCCCACUCGAGUAACCAAACUCCCCAUCAAGCUCAAGGAUUACAUUUUAGGAUGAAAAUACCUACUGGUCCCCUCCUCCCUCUGAAAGUUGUUGUUAUGGCAGGUCUAGCUGUCGUUUGUUUUUAGCUUAACCGAAGGCCUGUGUGCCAUUUAAUAUGUCUCUACUCUAGUUAAUUUGCUUUCUCAUUGAAUGAAAAACUCAGUUGUUGUUCUGAAAUUCUCAGCAUUUUCUC